AAGACAGCCUGGAGAAAACAGCUAUUUGUGAGCAUCAUUGACUUUGUAAUUAUUUAAACAUUACUGCCAUGUAGGAGAUGUGACUUAGAAAUAGCAAUGUUCAAAGAUGAAAAGAUUACCUUCUCCAUAAGCUAGAUAUCAGUCAGUAUUUGUCUUUGUUACUUUCUCAUCGACAGGACACAAUACUCAACACAUAGCUUAAAGGAGAGAUUUAUUUUGGAUCAUGUUUUUAGUCCACAGAUGGCUGGCUCCAAGGUGGGAAGGGCAAUGUGGAAGAGUCUGGUGGAGGAAAACUGCUCACUUGAUGGCAACCAGGAAUUAGAAAAGGAGCCAGAAAGGGAGAUGUACCCUUCCAGGUCACACCUCCAGUGACCCACUUUUUUUGACCAGGCCCCACCUCCAACAUUCUAGAUCUAAACCAUAACAGUAUUGAACAGAACAGCCAAGUCCAUCUUGAGUUAAUAAGCUCUGUCACAAAUUCAUGGUGAGUCUGGGCAGAUAGAUCACUGAGCCUCUCUGCUUAGUUUUCUGAUGUGCACACUCUGGAUGUAGAAAUGGAAAGCCAGAGUUUGAGCAGGGUUCUGCUCUAAGACAGGCCUAUUUGUCUCCUCUAUGCUGGAUAAAUGUCAAGUGUUAGCAAAGCAAUGGCAAAGAUCAAGCAGUCCCUCCCCUUGUAAAACGGUGGGGAAGGCAGACAUGGGUCAUGUGACUAUCCACUUCUAUGGCAGGGACCACGAAGGAAGGGCACCCGGAGCCAUGAGUGCCUUUAGUAAUCAUCUUAAGCCUUGAAGUGGACAUUGGGGGGAUGUAGUCUUGAUAAUGGGCAGAGGAGACUGGCUGGAAGCCAAGAAAGAUGAGGCAGCUUUUCACAACCUGGGAACAAGGAGAGCAGAGUAGCCCAUGUUGACAAACAGCUGGAGUCACAGACAUGAAACCUAUCAGCCCUGUCUGUGCCAUGAGUAAUCCCAUUAUCAGUUAUCUUUGAAAAGGAACAAUGACAAUGACCCUAAGAAUUUGUCAGUUUGGUAGAAUGGAGUAGGAGCCAUCAAAUUUGCAUAAUCUGAAUUUGCUUCUCAGUGUGACCUUGGGCAAGUCACAUUCCCUUUCUGGGCCUCACUUUCCUCAGCUAUAAAAUGUCAGAAGAGAAUGUAAGACAAUGGACCUCUGCCAUGUCUGCAAAUAAGAAUCACUUGGAGAGCUUCUAAAAGUACUGCUGUCUGGGCCUGUCCCAGACCAGUUAAAUCAGGGCUGUUCGGAGUCAAGCCCAGGAAUUAGGUUAGUUUUUGUUUUUUAAGUUAAACACUGAUACAGUCCAACAUUUCAUGAUUCGGUAAUCUAAUCCCUAGAACCUAAAUUGUUCUUUGUAAUGCAAUUGUACAGAAAUAUGCUGCAAGAAAUUGGAGCCUUGGGCAUUAAACUCUUGCUGAGAAACCAUGAAUGACCUGCCUCUUAACAAGCAAAGUGCAUUGGCCCUUAGAGAAAGAAGGGAGAUGGCUCUCUGCACAUUUUUCUUUUUUCUUGUAGCUCACAUGUCUUCUAUCAUUAUCAGGAAACCACCUUAAAUCACAUUAGAGGAUUUUUUACUUGGAGGUCUUCAGUGGUACAAUGGAAAGAACAUGGGCUUGAAAACAAACUCGGAGGUUGCCCAACUCAUCUGUCAUAUGUACGGGGCUACAGAAUGUUCAAGUCAACCAGCAGACCAGCUGGGCCUUCCAAGGGGUCUGACUUCCUCAAGGAGAAUUUGUCUUGACCAUAUGUGUAUGGGGGCAGCCACCUUCAUUCCAAAAAUGGUUAGAGAAGGGAGGAAGCAGUGGGAGACUCACAGCUUUGUUCUACUACUGGGGCUCUUAGAUGCUCCAAGGGAACCUGGUAAGUUGGUGAGCAGGAACAGGAGCCUGUGGGUGCUUUCAGGGCCUGGACUGACAGUGCCUCUGGCCUGUGUGGGUAGAAGCCAAGGAAUAGGUCUCAGGAGCCCGGGGAUGGCCAAGAAAAAUGAGGUAUUUGAGGUUAGCAACCAAGUAACCAAUGGG
ensembl:lncRNA